GAGUUUGAUCUUGGCUCAGAUUGAACGCUGGCGGCAUGCCUUACACAUGCAAGUCGAACGGCAGCACGGGAGCUUGCUCCUGGUGGCGAGUGGCGAACGGGUGAGUAAUGCAUCGGAACGUAUCCUGGAGUGGGGGAUAACGUAGCGAAAGUUACGCUAAUACCGCAUAUUCUGUGAGCAGGAAAGCGGGGGACCUUCGGGCCUCGCGCUCUUGGAGCGGCCGAUGUCGGAUUAGCUAGUUGGUGAGGUAAAGGCUCACCAAGGCGACGAUCCGUAGCAGGUCUGAGAGGAUGAUCUGCCACACUGGAACUGAGACACGGUCCAGACUCCUACGGGAGGCAGCAGUGGGGAAUUUUGGACAAUGGGGGCGACCCUGAUCCAGCCAUGCCGCGUGAGUGAAGAAGGCCUCGGUU
rnacentral:rRNA from 1 species